rnacentral:rRNA from 1 species
UACGUAGGGGGCAAGCGUUAUCCGGAUUUAUUGGGCGUAAAGAGCUCGUAGGCGGCCGUUCGCGUCGGAUGUGAAAGCUCAGGGCUCAACUCUGAGACGCCAUUCGAUACGGGACGGCUAGAGGUAGGUAGGGGAAAGUGGAAUUCCUGGUGUAGCGGUGAAAUGCGCAGAUAUCAGGAGGAACACCGGUGGCGAAGGCGGCUUUCUGGGCCUUAACUGACACUGAGGGACGAAAGCUAGGGGAGCGAAUGGG